UAGAGGGCGGGACCUGCGCUGGGAUGAACAAGGCGCGGCCAAGAGCUCCUUCACACGUGCAGACAAAGAGACCUAACAACACAACCAAAAUAUGCACUUCCAAACUUUUUGCUUCCAGAUGAUCUCGCAAGGAAACCCAAAAAAAUGCAACUCUCGACGCAGAGGCCACACUCACCGCAAAUAUGGAAAGCUCAUAUUUUGGAUGGAAAUAGCUCUUGGAUGGAUUUUCGGGGAUUUACCAGUGACAUUUUGGCAAAGAAUCCCCCUUUGCUAACUCUGGAAUACUGCAGCGAAGUGACAUUUGGAUUACAAUCUCCUUCGGCAGCUGGAAUAUGAACAGCAGAUUGAAGGGAUACCCUAAUCCGCCUAGAGACGCAGCUUCUCUUCUGUGUGAGAGGUCAGGAGGAGGUGCAGGUAUGGUGGGUGGUGUCGUCUUGCUGACCACAUGCCCCGGGAUACGCGCAACUGAGAUGAGAGGCGUGCCUUCCCUGACUCCGGGCCCAGUGGACAGGAUGGCCGUGUGGCAUUCAAACCCACACUCCAGUUUCCCAAGCAAGUCCUAGCCUGAAGUGCGGCCAGUCAGCAGGGACGUUUGCCUGAGUUGACCUCCCUCUCCCUCUUUCUCACACUGCGCUAAGCUCCAUGUCUGGCAACCGAGCUGGGAAACAACCACAGUGUGUUUUCUCUCACACCCCACUCCACACCAGUGCAGUCGGUCAUCCACUGCUCAAGCUGAUCAAGUGCUUAAGGUGUGUGUGUGUGUGUGUGUGUGUGUGUGUGUGUGUGUGUGUGUGUGUGUGUGUGUUUGUGUGGCAGUAAUCUGUGUUUUAGUGUGUAAUCAUAAAAUUAAAGCUGUUUUUGUCUCAUUGUUAAUUUAAUUGUUUUAAUGUACUGGUGUGUGCAUGUUUGCCUCCCUCUCUCUCUCUCUCUUUCUGUCUCUCUCUCUAUCUCUCUCUUUCUGUCUCUCUCUGUGUCUCUCUCUCUGUCUCUGCGCAAGUGUGUGUGAGGUGUGGGGGCUCUACUUCUCCUUUUUUAUCAGGAUCGGUUCAGUGGGAAUGAGACAUUAGAGAGUAUAAAAUAUGACACAAUACUUUUGUGAAAUAAGUCACUUGUAAGGUCUAUGACUAUGAAAGACUAUAAAUCAGAAAAAAGGGAGAAGAUAGAUAUUUCACAAGCUGAUGUAACCUACAGAAACCCCCGAAGCUCACAGCUGGGGUAAAGAUAUUCACACACACCUGCACGCGCGCACACACACACACACACACACACACACACACACAC